rnacentral:rRNA from 1 species
GUCUAUGGCCAUGCUACCCUGAACAAGCCCAAUCCCGUCUGAUCUUGGAAGCUAAGCAGGCUCGGACCUGGUUAGUACUUGGAUGGGAGACCACCUAGGAACACCAGAUGCUGUAGGCA